rnacentral:rRNA from 1 species
GACGAACGCUGGCGGCGUGCUUAACACAUGCAAGUCGAACGGAAAGGCCUGCUUUCCCUUGUGGAUUGCGGGUACUCGAGUGGCGAACGGGUGAGUAACACGUGAGUGAUCUGCCCCCAACUUGGGUAUAAGCCUGGGAAACUGGGUCUAAUUCCCGAUAGGACUGCAGGGUGGUGCCUGUGGUGGAAAACGAUUUUCUAGUGGUUGGGGAUGAGCUCGCGGCCUAUCAGCUUGUUGGUGGGGUAAUGGCCUACCAAGGCGGCGACGGGUAGCCGGCCUGAGAGGGUGGACGGCCACAUUGGGACUGAGAUACGGCCCAGACUCCUACGGGAGGCAGCAGUGGGGAAUAGUGCACAAGGAGCGGAAGCCUGAUGCAGCGACGCCGCGUGGGGGAUGACGGCCUUCGGGUUGUAAACUCCUUUCGACCGCGAGGAAGCCACCUGGUUGGAAGGGUGGUGACGGUAGUGGUAGAAGAAGCACCGGCUAACUACGUG